rnacentral:rRNA from 1 species
AUACCACUUGGAUCACACCUGGCCUUCUUUGACUCUGGAAGCUAAGCAUGGUCAGCCCUGGUUAGUACUUGAAUGGGAGACCACCAGGGAAUACCAAGAA